UACGUAGGGGCGCAAGCGUUGUCCGGAAUUAUUGGGCGUAAAAGAGCUCGUAGGCGGUUUUGUCGCGUCUGCUGUGAAAAGCCCGGGGGCUCAACCCCCGGGUCUGCAGUGGGUACGGGCAGACUAGAGUGCAGUAGGGGGAGACUGGAAUUCCUGGUGUAGCGGUGAAAUGCGCAGAUAUCAGGAGGAACACCGAUGGCGAAGGCAGGUCUCUGGGCUGUUACUGACGCUGAGGACGAAAGCAUGGGGGAGCGAACAGGAUUAGAUACCCCGGGUAGUCC
rnacentral:rRNA from 1 species